rnacentral:snRNA from 1 species
ACACUCACUUUGGCAGCACAUAUACUAAAAUUGGAAGGAUACAGAGAAGAUUAUCAUGGCCCCUAUGCAAGGAUGGCAUGCAAAUUUGUGAAGUGUUCCAUAUUUCU